rnacentral:rRNA from 1 species
UACGUAGGGUGCGAGCGUUGUCCGGAAUCACUGGGCGUAAAGGGUGCGUAGGCGGGGCUUUAAGUCAGGGGUGAAAUCCUGGAGCUCAACUCCAGAACUGCCUUUGAUACUGAGGAUCUUGAGUUCGGGAGAGGUGAGUGGAACUGCGAGUGUAGAGGUGAAAUUCGUAGAUAUUCGCAAGAACACCAGUGGCGAAGGCGGCUCACUGGCCCGAUACUGACGCUGAGGUGCGAAAGCGUGGGGAGCAAACAGG